rnacentral:rRNA from 1 species
UACGUAGGAUGCAAGCGUUGUCCGGAUUUACUGGGUGUAAAGGGUGCGCAGGCGGGCCUGUAAGUCAGAGGUGAAAGCCGACAGCUUAACUGUCGAAAUGCCUUUGAUACUGCGGGUCUUGAGUUCGAGAGAGGCGGAUGGAAUGUGUGGUGUAGCGGUGAAAUGCGUAGAUAUCACACAGAACACCAGUGGCGAAGGCGGUCCGCUGGCUCGAUACUGACGCUCAGGCACGAAAGCGUGGGUAGCAAACAGG